GGGGUUGUAGCUCAGCGGUAGAGCGCUCGCCUCAUACAUGCGAGACCCUGGGUUCAAUUCCCAGCACCACG
rnacentral:tRNA from 1 species